rnacentral:rRNA from 1 species
GACGAACGCUGGCGGCGUGCUUAACACAUGCAAGUCGAACGGCAGCACGGGUGCUUGCACCUGGUGGCGAGUGGCGAACGGGUGAGUAAUACAUCGGAACGUACCAUAUCGUGGGGGAUAACGCAGCGAAAGCUGUGCUAAUACCGCAUACGCCCUGAGGGGGAAAGCGGGGGAUCGCAAGACCUCGCGCGAUUAGAGCGGCCGAUGCCUGAUUAGCUUGUUGGUGGGGUAAAAGCCCACCAAGGCGACGAUCAGUAGCUGGUCUGAGAGGACGAUCAGCCACACUGGGACUGAGACACGGCCCAGACUCCUACGGGAGGCAGCAGUGGGGAAUUUUGGACAAUGGGGGCAACCCUGAUCCAGCAAUGCCGCGUGAGUGAAGAGGGCCUUCGGGUUGUAAAGCUCUUUUGUCAGGGAAGAAACACCGGCUCUAACACAGUCCGGGAAUGACGGUACCUGAAGAAUAAGCACCGGCUAACUACGUGCCAGCAGCCGCAGUAA